rnacentral:rRNA from 1 species
UACAGAGGGGGCAAGCGUUAUUCGGAAUUAUUGGGCGUAAAGGGCGCGUAGGCGGCUUGGCAAGUGGAUGGUGAAAUCCCUCGGCUUAACCGAGGAACUGCCGUCCAAACUGCUUCGCUUGAGACCGGGAGAGGUGAGUGGAAUUCCCAGUGUAGCGGUGAAAUGCGUAGAUAUUGGGAGGAACACCAGUGGCGAAGGCGGUCUGCUGGGCCGUUGCUGACGCUGAGGCGCGACAGCGUGGGGAGCAAACAGG